rnacentral:rRNA from 1 species
UAGGGAAUUUUGCGCAAUGGGGGAAACCCUGACGCAGCAAUACCGCGUGAACGACGAAGCUCUUCGGAGUGUAAAGUUCUGUCAGUGGGGACGAAUUUUGAUGGUACCCACAAAGGAAGCAUCGGCUAACUACGUGCCAGCAGCCGCGGUAAGACGUAGGAUGCAAGCGUUGUCCGGAAUCAUUGGGCGUAAAGCGUUCGUAGGCGGUAUACCAAGUCUGAUGUUAAAGCCCGGAGCUCAACUCCGGUU